rnacentral:rRNA from 1 species
GAUGAACGCUGGCGGUCUGCUUAACACAUGCAAGUCGAACGGAAUCCUUAGGGAUUUAGUGGCGGACGGGUGAGUAACACGUAAGAACCUGCCUCUAGGACGGGGACAACAGUUGGAAACGACUGCUACACCCGGAUGAGCCGAAAGGUAAAGGAUUUAUCGCCUAGAGAGGGGCUUGCGUCUGAUUAGCUAGUUGGUAGGGUAAAGGCUUACCAAGGCGACGAUCAGUAGCUGGUCUGAGAGGAUGAUCAGCCACACUGGGACUGAGACACGGCCCAGACGCCUACGGGAGGCAGCAGUGGGGAAUUUUCCGCAAUGGGCGAAAGCCUGACGGAGCAAGACCGCGUGGGGGAGGAAGGUUCUUGGAUUGUCAACCCCUUUUCUCAGGGAAGAAAAAAAUGUCGGUACCUGAGGAAUCAGCAUCGGCUAACUCCGUGCCAGCCGCCGCCGUAAAAC